rnacentral:snRNA from 1 species
GUGCUUGCUUCGGCAGCACAUAUACUAAAAUUGGAACAAUACAGAGAAGAUAACCACGGCCCCUGCGCAAGGAUGACAUGCAAAUUCAUGAAGCGUUCCAUAUUUUU